rnacentral:rRNA from 1 species
UACGUAGGGUGCAAGCGUUGUCCGGAAUUAUUGGGCGUAAAGGGCUCGUAGGCGGUCCAUCACGUCGGGAGUGAAAAGCUGGGGCUUAACCCCAGUCCUGCUUUCGAUACGGGCAGACUUGAGGCAUUCAGGGGAGAACGGAAUUCCUGGUGUAGCGGUGAAAUGCGUAGAUAUCAGGAGGAACACCGGUGGCGAAGGCGCACAUCUGGCCCGAUACUGACGCUGAAGCGCGAAAGCUAGGGGAGCAAACGGG